rnacentral:rRNA from 1 species
GAUGAACGCUGGCGGCGUGCCUAAUACAUGCAAGUCGAGCGAACAGACGAGGAGCUUGCUCCUCUGACGUUAGCGGCGGACGGGUGAGUAACACGUGGAUAACCUACCUAUAAGACUGGGAUAACUUCGGGAAACCGGAGCUAAUACCGGAUAAUAUAUUGAACCGCAUGGUUCAAUAGUGAAAGACGGUUUUGCUGUCACUUAUAGAUGGAUCCGCGCCGCAUUAGCUAGUUGGUAAGGUAACGGCUUACCAAGGCGACGAUGCGUAGCCGACCUGAGAGGGUGAUCGGCCACACUGGAACUGAAACACGGUCCAGACUCCUACGGGAGGCAACAGUAGGGAAUCUUCCGCGAUGGGCGAAAGCCUAACGGAGCAACGCCGCGUGAGUGAUGAAGGUCUUCGGAUCGUAAAACUCUGUUGUUAGGGGAGAACAAAUGUGUAAGUAACUAUGCACGUCUUGACGGUACCUAAUCAGAAAGCCACGGCUAACUACGUG